rnacentral:rRNA from 1 species
UCCACGCCGUAAACGAUGAUAACUCGUUGUUGGCGAUACACAGUCAGCGACUAAGGGAAACCGAUAAGUUAUCCACCUGGGGAGUACGAUCGCAAGGUUGAAACUCAAAGGAAUUGACGGGGGCCCGCACAAGCGGUGGAGCAUGUGGUUUAAUUCGAUGAUACGCGAGGAACCUUACCUGGGCUUAAAUGCAGAGUGACAGUCCCGGAAACGGGAUCUUCUUCGGACAGUCU